AACGAACGCUGGCGGCAGGCUUAACACAUGCAAGUCGAACGCCCCGCAAGGGGAGUGGCAGACGGGUGAGUAACGCGUGGGAAUCUACCUAGUUCUACGGAACAACAGAGGGAAACUUCUGCUAAUACCGUAUACGCCCUAAGGGGGAAAGAUUUAUCGGAAUUAGGUGAGCCCGCGUAAGAUUAGCUAGUUGGUGGGGUAAUGGCCUACCAAGGCGACGAUCUUUAGCUGGUCUGAGAGGAUGAUCAGCCACACUGGGACUGAGACACGGCCCAGACUCCUACGGGAGGCAGCAGUGGGGAAUAUUGGACAAUGGGCGCAAGCCUGAUCCAGCCAUGCCGCGUGAGUGAUGAAGGCCUUAGGGUUGUAAAGCUCUUUCAGUGGGGACGAUAAUGACGGUACCCACAGAAGAAGCCCCGGCUAACUUCGUGCCAGCCGCCGCGGUAAGAC
rnacentral:rRNA from 1 species